rnacentral:rRNA from 1 species
UACGUAGGGUGCAAGCGUUGUCCGGAAUUAUUGGGCGUAAAGGGCUCGUAGGCGGUUUGUCGCGUCGGGAGUGAAAUCCACUGGCUUAACUGGUGGCUUGCUUUCGAUACGGGCAGACUGGAGGUAUGCAGGGGAGAACGGAAUUCCUGGUGUAGCGGUGAAAUGCGCAGAUAUCAGGAGGAACACCAAUGGCGAAGGCAGAUCUCUGGGCCGUAACUGACGCUGAGGAGCGAAAGCAUGGGGGAGCGAACAGG